rnacentral:rRNA from 1 species
AUUGAACGCUGGCGGCAUGCUUUACACAUGCAAGUCGAACGGCAGCGCGGGCUUCGGCCUGGCGGCGAGUGGCGAACGGGUGAGUAAUGCAUCGGAACGUGCCCAGUAGUGGGGGAUAGCCCGGCGAAAGCCGGAUUAAUACCGCAUACGACCUGAGGGUGAAAGCGGGGGACCGAAAGGCCUCGCGCUAUUGGAUCGGCCGAUGUCGGAUUAGCUAGUUGGUGGGGUAAAGGCUUACCAAGGCGACGAUCCGUAGCUGGUCUGAGAGGACGACCAGCCACACUGGGACUGAGACACGGCCCAGACUCCUACGGGAGGCCGCAGUGGGGAAUUUUGGACAAUGGGGGCAACCCUGAUCCAGCCAUGCCGCGUGCGGGAAGAAGGCCUUCGGGUUGUAAAACGCUUUUGUUCGGGAAGAAAUCCUCUGGGCUAAUACCCCGGGGGGAUGACGGUACCGGAAGAAUAAGCACCGGCUAACUACGUG